AAUGAUUAGUCGUUGUGGACUCGUCUAACGCUUAAGCGCAUUCGACCAAGGCAAGCCACGAUCGAGAGAAUGGUAGAUGUUCUUUCCCAACUGGAUUCACGCAGAAGCGCCACAUGGAACAUCAGUUAUCUUCAACCUUAAACAAGGGAGGUUAUAAAUAGCAGGAGCAAACACAGAAGAGGAGUCCAAUCCUUCGAUCCAAACACAAACUCUUUACCAAUAAUGUUGAUGAUUAUCUUAGUGUAGCAUCUUAGCUUAGUUCAUUCACUAUUCAAUGCUCGUAAGCCCUAGACAUUUAAGAUAGAAGUAGCAUCAGUCUGUCCCUAGCACGCCAAACUAGCUUAUAGUUUCCAAUAGUUGUAAUUCCAUUCCAUUUGUGCCCGUGCGCUGGAUCUGAAAGAAGGUUGUUAACCUUAGGACCUGUCUGCCUAUGUACAUAUGCUGGGCUGACUUUACUUCUUUUUUUCUUUUCUUUUUUUAAUCUCUGGAAUUGCGAAUGCCCUGCCCACCAAUACACUGUCACUACUACUCUCAGCUAGGGUUGGCAAUCCCGCCUAGUGGUAAGAAGACCAUGACUGGUCAUGUUUGAAAUCCACAUCUAUUUCCAUCUACCUCCACUCGUUAAAUCAUACAAUUGUUAAACCUUUGCAAUGUUAGUACAUUGAUUUGUGCACCUGUUUUGAAAUAUUGGACAAUUCCAGCCAUUUAUCUGGGCUAGGGACCUUCUUUUGAUGAAUCUAAGCCAGAGAACAUGGAUUCUUGGCUGGGCGAUCCUGUCGGCCCAGCCUUCUCUAGUGCCGAAGGGGCAAGAAGUCGCGAGAGGGAGCUCAGCCCAUAGCAGUAAUUUUAGGACAGGAUCCUAUUAGGUUGAGCCUAGGAAACGUUGACCGAGCUCGGGUCAGGGCGGUGUACCGGAUUCUUAGUUUUAUGGUACUUCACGCUCCCGAGCUUGGCGAUGUCUCUGGUUAAAGAUGGUUGAUUGCCCUUGCUAUGGGAAGAGAUUCCGUCCUUCCUCCAAGGCCAAGGUGCCUGAGAAUGGGGGGCAGUGCAGAGGAGGUCCAUCAAAACUGCAGUGAGGCUAGAGCCCCGAGCUGAGGGGUUUGCACCCAAAUAGCCGGCUUCGGUGGUUGUUGAUGAGUGUGGUUCCUCGGGCCAACAAGCUGAGGAGACCGAGGCACCGAACUUCCUACCCCCAGGAUAUGACAUGAAUGACCUUGCCCUAUGGACGGCUCGACACAUUCCUGAGGAGGAGAUCGCAGAUCUUGUCAAAACUCACCCGAUGUCCCUUCUGGGUGAUGUGGUUGCGGCCUGCUAUAAGUUCGUUCCUGAUCUUCUGUCUACACGUCAUUCGAUAACUCGGGUGGCCAAGGAACGUGAACAAGUAGGGGCGGCGCUUCAAGUCAAGAUCGCCAAGGUCAAAGCUUUGGAGCAGGCUCUGAGGAGAUCUGGGGAGGGGCAGACUACUCUAAAGAUCUAGCUGGGCGAAGCCCACCAGAAGGAGGCCCUGGUCCAGACUGAGUUGGAGGGGACGAGGUCUGGCCUUUCCCAUGCUGAAAAGGGACAGACCGAGGUGGAAACUAAGAUUGUUAUGUCAGAGGCCGAGAUGGCCGAGGUGCGAGCCAGUUCAGCAACUUCGGUGUCUAAGUUGAUCGAGAGGGAGGCCAACCUAGCAGCCAUGCUGGCGAAGAUCAAGGCCUCCAUCAUGUCGAUCCGAGCGGCGACGAUGGGGGAGUACAAGGCCUCGUCGGAGGAAGCUAAUGAGGCAAAGGUAUAUUAUAGCCUUGGCUAUGAAAAAUGCCUCGAGGACGUCAAGGGAAAAUUUCCCGAGCUAGAUCUAAGCGACCUCGAGGGGGGAUCAUCUGACUACCCGACCCGAGCAAUGCCGAAGCCGAGCAGGCUACUUGAACCAACUAACCCCUAAUCCCCCUAUUAUCAUUUUUGUUUCUCUCUCUUGUAAUCCAUUUUAGAUUAAUAAAAGAAUCAAUU